GGGACGGAUCGCGCGCGGCUCCGGGAGGAGUCGGGUGGGACGGCCUCUCAUCCACACACCCCGCCCACACCUCCGCCCCGGAGAAGCGUUAACCCGUCUCCGCGGCGGUGGGCGGUGCGCGGGGCUUCCGGGUUCUUCGGCGCUAAGCACGGCUCACGUGCGGCGCCGCUUUCCCGCCGCAGCCAGCUGUGUUCCGCUCGUCCCGCGGAACGCCGGGCACGGGUGGGCCGGCGGGGUCGCUCCCAGGCCCAGUUUCCGAAACGUGCGCGAAAGGAGUCAGGGCUAGCUCCCCCUUUCUGCUACCCGGACCGCACUACGAGUCCCAGCGGGCAGCGCCGCCACGCGCGUCGGCCACCGAAGCGGUGCCUGCUGGGAGCUGGAGUCCCCAACGGCCGCGGUUCGCUGACCCCAACUGGCCGCGGGUCUUGCCUCCCGCUCGGCGAACCCCAACCGUCCUGGCGCUGAACCCUGGAAACCAACCAGGUAUGAACAACUUCCUUCUAGAAAUCUUUCUUUGAGCUCAUUCAUAGGUUGAGCAAGAAAAUGUAUUAAUGCUAAAUGGUGGAUAACUGCCUAUGUCCUCACAAAUGUCCAUUGAAUGAUUGCAGUGACAGAAUUAUGUGUGUAGGUACCUGUCCAGUGUGUCUCUGACUUGGAAAUCUAAAAUUGUAUAGUCUGGAUUUUAAGCCUACUAGAAUUACUCCAGGUUUACUUCAUGAUACCCUUUCCUUUCCACUAAUAAUUUUGGAACAUUGUCCAUUUAUUUCCAUAUAAAAAUCUAUUUUUAAAAGAU
rnacentral:lncRNA from 1 species